UGUAAGCGUAUACCAAAGUUGUUGCAGUUAAAACGCUCGUAGUCGGAUUUCGGGACGGGCCAGUUGGUCCGCCGCAAGGUGUGUUACUGACUGGUCUGUUCUUCUUCGCAAAGACUGCGUGUGCUCUUCGUUGAGUGUGCGUAGGAUUUACGACGUUUACUUUGAAAAAAUUAGAGUGUUCAAAGCAGGCUAUCGCUUGAAUACAUGAGCAUGGAAUAAUGGAAUAGGACUUUGGUCCUAUUUUGUUGGUUUCUAGGAUCGAAGUAAUGAUUAAGAGGGACAAUUGGGGGCAUCCGUAUUUCGUUGUCAGAGGUGAAAUUCUUGGAUUUACGAAAGACGAACAACUGCGAAAGCACUUGCCAAGAGUGUUUUCAUUAA
rnacentral:rRNA from 1 species